UGGGGAAUAUUGGGCAAUGGGCGCAAGCCUGACCCAGCAACGCCGCGUGAAGGAAGAAGGCUUUCGGGUUGUAAACUUCUUUUCUCAGGGACGAAGCAAGUGACGGUACCUGAGGAAUAAGCCACGGCUAACUACGUGCCAGCAGCCGCGGUAAUACGUAGGUGGCAAGCGUUAUCCGGAUUUACUGGGUGUAAAGGGCGUGUAGGCGGGAUCGCAAGUCAGAUGUGAAAACUGGAGGCUCAACCUCCAGCCUGCAUUUGAAACUGUGGUUCUUGAGUACUGGAGAGGCAGACGGAAUUCCUAGUGUAGCGGUGAAAUGCGUAGAUAUUAGGAGGAACACCAGUGGCGAAGGCGGUUUGCUGGACAGCAACUGACGCUGAGGCGCGAAAGCGUGGGGAGCAAACAGGAUUAGAUACC
rnacentral:rRNA from 1 species